rnacentral:tRNA from 1 species
GCGGGUGUAGUACAUCGGUAGUAUAUCUCCCUUCCAAGGAGAAGAGGCCAGUUCGAUUCUGGUCACCCGCU